CCGGCGCGCGGGUGAGUAACACGUAUCCAACCUGCCGUCUACUCUUGGCCAGCCUUCUGAAAGGAAGAUUAAUCCAGGAUGGGAUCAUGAGUUCACAUGUCCGCAUGAUUAAAGGUAUUUUCCGGUAGACGAUGGGGAUGCGUUCCAUUAGAUAGUAGGCGGGGUAACGGCCCACCUAGUCAACGAUGGAUAGGGGUUCUGAGAGGAAGGUCCCCCACAUUGGAACUGAGACACGGUCCAA
rnacentral:rRNA from 1 species